rnacentral:tRNA from 1 species
GGAGCAGUGGUUAAGCAUUUGGCUGCUAACCAAAAGGUCAGCAGUUCGAAUCCACAGCUGUUCCU